UUCAACAAUUAAUAUGUACGCUUCUCUGAAUCCUAAUCUCCAAAGUUUAACGAUGAAUCUUCCUAUUCAAAAUCAACCUUCCCCGAAUCAGAUUCGUUUGCACGCGAAGCUAAGAAGAAAAACGGACAACUCAACAACUGAAGCAAGAACGUAUAAGAGGACUUACCAGAUUUAAACUCCAUCGUGGUGGUUCUCUGGCUAACAACAGGUAUUAAAUUCUCUCCAUUCUUUGCUCAGCUUUGUGAUGUAUGCUUCUUCCUCUUCUCGUUUCUUCCCCACAUUUCUUCUUCUAUUUCUGCAGGUUAAAUUGUUUAGUGAUGUUAAAAUGAUUUAUCAGAUGAGAGUUCAAAAUUUAUGUUGCUCUAUUUUUAAAAAUUCUGCUAUGUGAUAUUUGUAUGUAAUGCAGUGAUGGAUAAUUGUUGUUAUGUUGAAUGUGAGUGGUCUGCUCGAUUUCAUGUAUGGACUGUUGUUAGUUCAAGUUACAAUGCCAUGAUGAAUUAUCUGCUGCCAUGUUGAUGUGUUGCUGCAGGGUGGCGAUUGAUGUUCAUGUUCUGAUAUUGCAGAACAUGUAUUGAGAUGCAAAAUGCAAGUUGCAGCAUGAUGGAAGUAUAUGUCAUGGUGACCAAGGUAAGGCAAAGUGAAACUAAGGCAUGACCAACUUGUAAAAAAGGAUUUCUUGCUCAUGAAGGAAGUGUAAUAAUUGAAGCUCAAGAAAUUAAUGCAAGGAUGAAAAUGUGAUUAGUAUUAGGAUUUUAGGGAUGAAAAAUGUAAUGGUUGACUUUGGUCAACUAGUUGACCAAAAAGUCAACAGUUGACCAAAAGUCAACUUUUAUAAAAAUGUAAUUUUUUGAUUUCUUUUUGUAAUGGACUAUGUAUACCUUUAUGAAUGAAUGAAAACUCAAUUGUUUUGAUGAAACAAA